UAUAUAUGCUGAAAUAAAAAAGAGAUAAAAAUUCUUCUCUCCAGCAAAAACACGUCUCUGCAGAACAGUAAAACAGAGGCAGGUGCAUAAGCUUGCUCUGUUUUGCUGCCCUCUCUAUCUUUAACUCUCUCUCUCUAAGUUUGUUCAAUCACAGAGCUUCCCUUGAAGCUUAUUUUCUCUUUCGAUCAACAAGUGGUAUCAGAGCCAAGUUCUCCUACGUCUCAGGUGAAUUAAAAAUUUCUCAAACCCGAUGACUACCUCAGGAACUACCCCUGCUCCGCAGUUCAACGGAGAAAAUUACCAUGUAUGGGCAAUAAAGAUGCGAGCUCACCUCAAAGCUCUGGGUUUAUGGGAUGUUAUUAUAGAC
rnacentral:lncRNA from 1 species